GAGGGAAUAGCUUAGUGGUAGAGCGCAUGCUUAGCAUGCAUGAGUUAGCAUGCAUGAGGUCCUGGGUUCAAUCCCCAAUACCUCCU
rnacentral:tRNA from 1 species